ACGGGUUAGGCUCUCGGGAGCU
rnacentral:miRNA from 2 species